AUUUCAAAGACUUUUAAGAAGUUAUACAAUAUCCUGCAUAACAAAAAUAUUCAUAUAACAAAACUAGGUACUAACUGAUGAUUCAACAGUUAGCGGGAGCACAGGCACACACCACCACACCCAGCUAAUUUUAAAUUAUUAUUAUUUGCAGAGACAGGGUCUCCAAUUUUGCCAGAAACUUAUUUUUGAAGCACAAUAUAUAAGGCAUAUGGAUCAAUUUGCACCAGUUGUGUUUGUCAUACUAGAAAAAAGUCAGAUUCAUUGCUAAAGUGAUGAGAAAAGUGCCUUAUUCAAAUGAUGACAUAUCAUAGAUAUUCAAUCAUCUUCUUUUUGGAAAAUUGACUACAAAAUUGAAGAAUUCGUAUUCUGUUGUGGCAAGUGAAAUACAUUUCACGAGGGACAUGUUAUAAAGUCCUUGCCUCUUCUCAGUGCUGUGUGUAUGUGCAUGUGUGUGUGCUCCCAAGCACAAGCUAAAGUAUCUUUAUGGUCUGAUGCUUAUCCAUAUGUAUGUUAAUAAUAAAUAAGCUUAGAGAAUUAUGAUUAAGAAUAUAGCCUCUGGAGCCUUACUAUUCGGUUUGUAACCCAAGCUCCUCUACUCACUAGCUGUAUGACCUUGGUCAAGUUAAUUGACUUCUCUGGAUCUCAAUUUCCUCAUCUGUAAAAUGUAGAGAUAAUAGUGUCUACCUCAAAGUCAUGGUGAGCAUUAGGUGAACUAAUAUUGCAAAGCACUUAGAACAAUACUUUGUAUGUACUAAGCACAGCAUAUUAGCUAUUGUUAUUAUUACCUGGUAUCCAUGGCAGUCAUAGUUAAACGUUUCAUCAGGUCAGUACACCUUUAUAAGGAAAUGGGAUGAACAUGGUAACCUCAGAUAAAUUAUCUUCAUAGGAAACUUCCAGUUUGAAUAAAGCAUGUUAAUGAGAAAGCAUUUUACCACUUUUCCUAAAGAAACUGUGGUUUCCUGAAGGAAUGGUCUUCAAUAGUUGAAUUGAGGUACCUUGGCAAAAAUGGAAUUAGAUAGAGAUUUUCUACUGGGGAUCCUGAGGUGGAAAAGAAAAAGCAAAAGUGAACUGUAUGUGUUUCUUUAAUCUUGUGUUCCAUUUCCAAUGGAAGUUGGUGGUUGAAUUAGAAUGUGGUUGGGGAAACAGUGUUAAGAAUUCCUUAGGUAUUCCUCUUACAGUGUUGAAAUGGCACGGGUAAACCCCUGCCAUUUGCUUGUACUUUUCUGUGUGGGAUAAGAUUUUUUAUCAUUUUUUCUACCAAAACAGAGGCCAGAAGCUGAUGGGAGGGCACGUUUUCUCAUUUUUGGACAUCACGGUAGAAAAGCUACCACAAAGAGAUGCACAAAGCUGGUUAGAUUUUGAAAACGAGAAAAUGUUCAAGUAUCCUCAAUAUCAUACAACAUGCUACUACUUUCACUAUCUUUCAUGACAUCGUUUUACCAUAGAGAAACAAAAGAA
rnacentral:lncRNA from 1 species